rnacentral:rRNA from 1 species
UGCCUCAAAGAGGGGGACAACAGUUGGAAACGACUGCUAAUACCGCAUAAGCCCACAGGUCGGCAUCGACCAGAGGGAAAAGGAGCAAUCCGCUUUGAGAUGGCCUCGCGUCCGAUUAGCUAGUUGGUGAGGUAACGGCCCACCAAGGCGACGAUCGGUAGCCGGACUGAGAGGUUGAACGGCCACAUUGGGACUGAGACACGGCCCAGACUCCUACGGGAGGCAGCAGUGGGGAAUAUUGCACAAUGGGGGAAACCCUGAUGCAGCGACGCCGCGUGGAGGAAGAAGGUCUUCGGAUUGUAAACUCCUGUUGUUGAGGAAGAUAAUGACGGUACUCAACAAGGAAGUGACGGCUAACUACGUGCCAGCAGCCGCGGUAAAACGUAGGUCACAAGCGUUGUCCGGAAUUACUGGGUGUAAAGGGAGCGCAGGCGGGAAGACAAGUUGGAAGUGAAAUCUAUGGGCUCAACCCAUAAACUGCUUUCAAAACUGUUUUUCUUGAGUAGUGCAGAGGUAGGCGGAAUUCCCGGUGUAGCGGUGGAAUGCGUAGAUAUCGGGAGGAACACCAGUGGCGAAGGCGGCCUACUGGGCACCAACUGACGCUGAGGCUCGAAAGUGUGGGUAGCAAACAGGAUUAGAUACCCUGGUAGUCCACACCGUAAACGAUGAUUACUAGGUGUUGGAGGAUUGACCCCUUCAGUGCCGCAG